UACGUAGGUGGCGAGCGUUGUCCGGAUUUACUGGGUGUAAAGGGCGCGUAGGCGGGGCGGCAAGUCCGAUGUGAAAUCCCGCGGCUCAACCGUGGAACCGCAUCGGAAACUGUCGUCCUUGAGUAUCGGAGGGGAAAGCGGAAUUCCUAGUGUAGCGGUGAAAUGCGUAGAUAUUAGGAGGAACACCGGUGGCGAAGGCGGCUUUCUGGCCGAAAACUGACGCUGAGGCGCGAAAGCGUGGGGAGCAAACAGGAUUAGAUACCCUGGUAGUCCACGCCGUAAACGAUGGAUACUAGGUGUGGGAGGUAUCGACCCCUUCCGUGCCGUCGUAAACACAUUAAGUAUCCCACCUGGGGAGUACGGCCGCAAGGCUGAA
rnacentral:rRNA from 1 species